UACGUAGGUGGCAAGCGUUAUCCGGAAUUAUUGGGCGUAAAGCGCGCGCAGGUGGUUUCUUAAGUCUGAUGUGAAAGCCCACGGCUCAACCGUGGAGGGUCAUUGGAAACUGGGAGACUUGAGUGCAGAAGAGGAAAGUGGAAUUCCAUGUGUAGCGGUGAAAUGCGUAGAGAUAUGGAGGAACACCAGUGGCGAAGGCGGCAUCCUGGACCGGCAUUGACGCUGAGGCGCGAAAGCCAGGGGAGCAAACGGG
rnacentral:rRNA from 1 species